CUACGGGUUGCAGCAGUGGGGAAUAUUGGACAAUGGGGGGAACCCUGAUCCAGCAAUGCCGCGUGUGUGAAGAAGGCCUUCGGGUUGUAAAGCACUUUCAGUAGGGAAGAAAUACUCAAGGUUAAUACCCUUGAGGGCUGACAUUACCUACAGAAGAAGCACUGGCUAACUCUGUGCCAGCAGCCGCGGUAAUGCAGAGAGUGCAAGCGUUAAUCGGAAUUACUGGGCGUAAAGCGCGCGUAGGUGGAUAUUUAAGUCGGAUGUGAAAUCCCCGGGCUUAACCUGGGAAUUGCAUUCGAUACUGGGUAUCUAGAGUAUGGUAGAGGGAAGUGGAAUUUCCGGUGUAGCGGUGAAAUGCGUAGAUAUCGGAAAGAACACCAGUGGCGAAGGCGGCUUCCUGGACCAAUACUGACACUGAGGUGCGAAAGCGUGGGGAGCAAACAGGAUUAGAUACCCGCGUAGUC
rnacentral:rRNA from 1 species